UGUACGUCAGUAAAGAAAGUGGUGUAUUAAGAGGUAAGAGACACUCUUCAGACAAAAAAAAAACAACAAAAAAACAAACCUAAUGAAUUUCUGGAUUUUGCUGCAGAAAUAAGAAGCGACCCCGACAGUCAAAGUCUCCGGAAGAACCGUGUCUGGUUCUAAGAUGCUCGAUAAAACUUACCGCUCAUUUCCUUAUAAAACUGCACUCAUUCUACCUGAGAUGACUUUAUUUAUUUAUUUUUUCCAAGCAAAUGGUCAUCACACCAAAUAUAGCCUUGGUUUCAUUUACCUGCUCUUUAUAGUAUUUUUUUAAAUGUAGAAACAUUUAACUUUUCAUUAUAUUUGAAGGCAUCGUUGCUCUACAGCAUCUCUUUGCGUGCGCUUUAAACUUUUGCACAGUACCGUACAUCAGGUCCAUUUUUAUAAUCUGAAACAUUUGAAGAACGAGUUUCUAUGUGGAUCUUCUGAUCGCCCUGCAUUCUUUCAGGAUGAUCACGCAGGGACGACAGAGUGAGGGCAAAACACAAACCCGAAACCUGAAGGUAUUUGUCUUGUGGUUCAGGAAACGGGUUUGACCAGAACAAAGGAGGUUGUGUACUGAACCACACCCUCUGGCUUCAAAAACUACGGAGAGGCAAAAGGUGCUGUUGGGAUACUCUACGGAUUGACAUACUUUAUAUAUGAACUUUGCCUUCUCUGGAUAUUAUCUCUAUAUACUAUUAAUUCCGGUAUCAAUAUACGAUUACCUUAAGCACACUAUCCAGCAGUCUUCUAUGGAUGACCGUGGCGGCGUGGAUUGCUCCGUAAGCAAACAGGAAAGCACGAGCAGCGGUGAAGACGGUAUUGGCUACAGCUAGAGAACCGUACACAGUCAUGUAGAACUUCAGCUCUGAGCUCAUAUUGCCAAACGAGUCUCUGACUGG
ensembl:lncRNA